AAGGAGCCGGUAUCAAGUACAACAUCAGAACAAGUUUGCAUUCAAACAUAACCCUGCAAGCAAAAAAACAACAAAGAUAUUAGCAACUCCAAAUGUUGGAUUGUGUCCCAAGUGCCAUGAUAUUAUUGAGUGGAGGAAGAAGUACAGAAAGUAUAAGCCCCUCACUACUCCUAGAAGAUGGUAUGUAACUCAAUAUUAUCUUUUAUACACUCUAUGUAUUAUUAUAAAGAAAGAAGAAACGACGCAGGCACGCAAACGCAAUGCGCGCGCAUGCGUUGCGCAAUCCACGCAGCGCAGUGCACAACACAACACCACGCUCUCACUCCAUGGCACUUCACAUCCCUCUA
rnacentral:rRNA from 1 species